ACGGGAGGCAGCAGUGGGGAAUAUUGGGCAAUGGGGGCAACCCUGACCCAGCAACACCGCGUGAAGGAAGAAGGCCUUCGGGUUGUAAACUUCUUUUACCAGGGACGAAGAAAGUGACGGUACCUGGAGAAAAAGCUACGGCUAACUACGUGCCAGCAGCCGCGGUAAUACGUAGGUAGCAAGCGUUGUCCGGAUUUACUGGGUGUAAAGGGCGUGUAGGCGGAGGUACAAGUCAGGAGUGAAAUCCAUGGGCUUAACCCAUGAACUGCUUUUGAAACUGUAUCCCUUGAGUAUCGGAGAGGCAGGCGGAAUUCCUAGUGUAGCGGUGAAAUGCGUAGAUAUACGGAGGAAUACCAGUGGCGAAGGCGGCCUGCUGGACGACAACUGACGCUGAGGCGCGAAAGCGUGGGGAGCAAACAGGAUUAGAUACCCUGGUA
rnacentral:rRNA from 1 species